rnacentral:rRNA from 1 species
CCUACGGGUCGCAGCAGUGGGGAAUAUUGCACAAUGGGCGCAAGCCUGAUGCAGCCAUGCCGCGUGUAUGAAGAAGGCCUUAGGAUUGUAAAGUACUUUCAGUUGGGAGGGAGGCGUUGAUGCUAAUAUCAUCAACGAUUGACGUUACCAACAGAAGAAGCACCGGCUAACUCCGUGCCAGCAGCCGCGGUAAUACGGAGGGUGCAAGCGUUAAUCGGAAUUACUGGGCGUAAAGUGCACGCAGGCGGUUGAUUAAGUUAGAUGUGAAAUCCCCGGGCUUAACCUGGGAAUGGCAUCUAAGACUGGUCAGCUAGAGUCUUGUAGAGGGGGGUAGAAUUCCAUGUGUAGCGGUGAAAUGCGUAGAGAUGUGGAGGAAUACCGGUGGCGAAGGCGGCCCCCUGGACAAAGACUGACGCUCAGGUGCGAAAGCGUGGGGGGCAAACAGGAUUAGAUACCCCAGUAGUC